rnacentral:rRNA from 1 species
AGUGAACGCUGGCGGUAGGCCUAACACAUGCAAGUCGAACGGCAGCACAGUAAGAGCUUGCUCUUACGGGUGGCGAGUGGCGGACGGGUGAGGAAUACAUCGGAAUCUACUUUUUCGUGGGGGAUAACGUAGGGAAACUUACGCUAAUGCCGCAUACGACCUACGGGUGAAAGCAGGGGAUCUUCGGACCUUGCGCGAUUGAAUGAGCCGAUGUCGGAUUAGCUAGUUGGCGGGGUAAAGGCCCACCAAGGCGACGAUCCGUAGCUGGUCUGAGAGGAUGAUCAGCCACACUGGAACUGAGACACGGUCCAGACUCCUACGGGAGGCAGCAGUGGGGAAUAUUGGACAAUGGGCGCAAGCCUGAUCCAGCCAUACCGCGUGGGUGAAGAAGGCCUUCGGGUUGUAAAGCCCUUUUGUUGGGAAAGAAAAGCAGCAGGUUAAUACCCCGCUGUUCUGACGGUGCCCAAAGAAUAAGCACCGGCUAACUUCGUG